rnacentral:tRNA from 1 species
GCGGAUGUGGCGGAACUGGUAGACGCGCUAGAUUCAGGUUCUAGUGAUCGCAAGGUCGUGGAGGUUCAAGUCCUCUCAUCCGCA